UAUUCAGACAGGAGAAUGAAUAUGAAACACGAUAUUAAACCCGGUCAACAUUUAACGAACACAACUGUCUGUCAAAAAUAGGUGACACGCCCACAAACAGCUGACUGUGGGGACGCGGCGCGGCGACAGGCGGCCGUCGCCGCGUAUAGUGUCAAAAAGAGCCACUUUGCUUUCUCCUCGCUCGGAGUAGAAUUGAUUUUUGGCAGUGUGGGGGCGGGGAUGGGGUGGAGAGUUGUGCUAAUGUCUUCACUGGUAUGAUUGGUCACUUUAAAUACGAAGCCUAUACACUUCCUAUGCCUUCUAACGGCAAUGUUCUUGUUAGCUAAGGGACGAUAUGGAGACACAAGUGAGUAGCCUACCGGACACAAUGUAGUGUCAUUAAAUGUUAUAAUUAAUAUAUGUAAUUAAAGCCCCAUUCAGAUCAGAUUUAGAGGGUAAUACCUGGGUUAAUUGAAUGCCCAUUGUUCUCUUGAAAUCCAGCAUUUAGGUGGGUAUUUAGUGGGUCGGUACCAUUCACACACUGGAGCUGGGUUGUUUACGAUUCUAUCGUCAUUGCUAGGUCAACGGCCGUUACAGACCGCAGAUAAUUUUUUAACGUUGUUAGACCUGUUUCUAACUAGCCGUAGUGACUGGUUAGCUAGCUAGCUGCAUUAACUGCCUAGCAAUCGCUAGUUACCUAGCUAACGUUGUUAGCGACGUUAACAACGUUAGCUAGCGUAGCCAGCUCAGAUAAUGUUACUUAUAACUACUAGCCAGGUCUAUUGCAAACGAUUGUACGCUAGCUAAAAACGUUAGCGGUUGCUAACUUGCUAGCUACCCAAUAACGUUAGCUAACUGUAUAUACGUUACAGCUGACCCACUAAAUACCCACCUAAACGCUAGGUUUCAAGAGACACUGCAUUGUGUCCGGUAGGCUACUCACUACUUGUGAGUACACUGCCAAAAAUCAAUUCUACUCCGCGCGAGGAGAAAGUGGCUCUUCGUGAGCGAGGAGAAAUAUUUUGCGAGCGAGUAGAACUAGCUGGCGCGCGGCUCAUUGUUUUACUCGCGGUGUUGAAAUUUGCGCACGUGAAAGUGGUUUUGUGCUCGCGCAGUGAAUAUCAGCGCGCGUGGCUGCUUUUUUUACUCGAGCAGUGAAUAUCUGCUCGCGCUGAUUUGUGGCAUUAAAUUGACGCCGUAGAUGUCACGGUCUGUUUUCGAGCUGAACGGCGGAGAACGGUCAUGGCGCCCGCCUGUCAUUCCCGACCAAGAGCAGCUCCUGAUAUUUUUAAAGAAGCUCAAAGAGGUGUUCGAUGUUUGUGACGACGAUGCGGACGGAUACAUUAUUUGAGCAUUUCGUGGAUCUUGGAUUGCAGUUCGGGCAAGGAGAUGAGACCUUCACUGAGACACAGCUCGAUACGGAACAUUAAAGAGGAAUCCUGAAGUUCACAUUUUGAGUUGCUCCGGCAAAGGCACAGAAUGCAUGCCGUUCUACAGGAGCAUCACCUGCAGGAAAGCCAGGGACUGCGUCUGGGCCAAAAGGCGGGUGAUGCGGUCUCUUGCCCCACUCAUCUCCUCCAUGUUCUGGUUGAACUUUUUCAUCAUUGAGAGCCUGGACUGGGCACCCUCCUCCUCCUUUUCCAUGCUCUUCACAGCCUGCUGCUCGUCUCUGUCGAGCAUCUCCCUGAUCUGUCUGUACACCAUUUCUAGCUGUUGCUUCCGUUUGGUCGCCGAGUCCUGAGGUGAACAAGCACGUGACUGUCAUAUCACUGCGCAUUAUAAAAUACGACUUGUUUAUUCCAAAAUUAGCUAACAACUGCAGUCUAACUGACCAGGUACUUAUGUGAGUAAGAAGCACUUUCAAAGUGAAUGUGGACAGAACGAGUGCUGAGUAACAGCAUCCACUUACUGAUCUUGGGGUGCCACUUUUAAUAUGGUGAAAACAGCCAUUUGUAUGAAACUGAUAAGAAACUUAUGUGGGCCACUCUCUUGGACACCAACUUAUUUGUUUCUAAUUUUAUUUAUGACCUUUCCUCUUGAAACCUUGGCGGCACACAAAGACGCAGUGGCUCAGUGCUCCCUAAAUUAUUAUUAUGUAUCUGUUUGGGAGGGUGCGCGUGGGUGUGUGUGUGCGUGUGCGUGUGGGUGUGUGUGUGUGUGGAUUGUUAGAUGAACCGGCUUAUGGGCUGCACAGCAAAUUUCGUUGUAUGGAAUGUACAAUGACAAUAAAGGCGUUCUAUACUAUCUA